rnacentral:rRNA from 1 species
GUCUUAUUGAAAAUAAUUUUAAGUCAAUCUGCCCAAUGAUUAUUAAAAUUUUAAUGGCUGCAGUAUAAUUAACUGUACUAAGGUAGCAUAAUCAAUUGUUUUUUAAUUAAAAACUAGAAUGAAAGAAUUAAUGAGAUAUAUACUGUCUCAUAUAUAUAAAAUAAAUUUAAAUUUUUAGUAAAAAUGCUUAAAUUAUUUUAUGGGACGAUAAGACCCUAUAGAAUUUUAUAUUAAUAUAUAAUUAAUAAUUUAAUUAUAAUAUUAAUAUUUGAUUGGGAGGAUUAAUAAAUUUAAUUAACUUUAUUUUUAAAAUAAACUUUAAUUUUAGAAUAAUUUUUGAUCUUAUAUUAUAAAUUAAAAAAAUAAAUUACCUUAGGGAUAACAGCGUAAUAUCUUUUUAAAGAUCAUAUUUAUAAAGAUGUUUGCGACCUCGAUGUUGAAUUAAGAUAAAUUUUAGGUGAAGAAAUCUAAAUAUUAAGUCUGUUCGACUUUUAAAAUCUUACAUGAUUUGAGUUCAAAUCGACGUAAGU